UCUGUCCCUCCGUUUCCCCUCACACACCUUCAUUUUCCCUCUUUCUCCCCCAUUUCCCCUCCCGCUCCCGCCCUUCCCGGCGCGCAGAGCACCGCGAUAGAGACCGCGGGGCGGGUGGGGGAGAGCGGUGCCCGCGCAGCGCCCGUCGGCGGCGAACAAUAUCCCGGGUUCUCUCUGCAGCGCGGGGCAUUUGCAAUGCAAAUAGUGCGAGGGAUUCCUUCAGAGAAGAGCGGUGAUCAGCCGCGGGCUCAGCUGUGUGCGAGCCCGGAGGUCACCGUCCCGGCUGCGGGCACCGUGAGCACCGCUGCUGACUCCCAGCGCAGCAUUUGCAUCUGAAAAGUGGGUUUUGUUUACACCUCCUUAGAGCUCCAAACGACGAGUUAUUUCCCUCGGUGUUCCGAGCUUUAAAUUAACGGGCGAAUGCAAUUGGUGACCGUUUCCGAGCAAAUUUUCUCUUAGAAGCCAGGCAGGAGUUUGCUUGGUGCGGGUUUCUCUUUGGGAUAGUUUGCUCGUCGCUGUGAGGCAGCGGAAAAAAAAAGCGAGUGAGCCCACAGCGCAGUGCGGGCUGCUCACCCAUAGCCACAGGCAAGGAUUAAUGGGUUCCCAAAUCGUUCCAAAGAGCUGCUUCACCUCAUCAGCUUGAUAGGAGAUAUUAGUAAAGCAAAAUGCUUCAUCGCUUCAGUUCACAGCGACCAAACAAAGAGCCCCAUUUGAUUCUCCUUUUAAGUGGUCCGUGCUAAUUUUCUGUGUUCUGUCUGAUGCAGGCCCAAGGGACAUCUCCUCGGACAGUCUCUUUUCUUCCCCGUUGAGACAGGGCCUCUUUCUUUUGAGUUCCCAUUGAUAUCUUUAAUUGUGGACAUCAUUCCUGUGCACCUGACUCUGAGGGCUCAAUCUUUUAUGUUACAACUUGUGAUGCCAUUCAUUCUCAGCCUUUGCUGGUUACAAGCCCCCAGGUCUAAACCUUUCGUGGAAAUCGUAGAAUCAUGGAAUCAUUUGAGUUGGAAGGGACCCUUCAAGGUCAUCUGGCCCAACUCCCUGCAAUGAACAGGGACAAUCAAUCCCCCAUCUGCCCGCAGUGAAGUGUUUGAUCCCACGCUUCCUCUGUUGAAUGGUCCUAACGUAGAAGAUGUUGCUUGAAAGACCCAAACCCCUGAACUUUUCCUGCCAAAUAGCUACAAGCCUGUGAAACUUCAUUAGAAUUUGAUUUUUAUUUCAAUUCCUACAUUUUAAUUCUUAUAUUUGUGUGCCUUUAUUUUUCCCAGCUUGUUGUUGCCAUGCUCUUCCAGGGCAGGAUGCUGACUGUCCCCCCACUCCAGCUUGGGACACUGCAAUUCCUCAUCUGUGCUGACAUCUCAAGUCACUGCUGCAGCUUUCAAGGUGCUCUGUGGCCGCGGAUGGGAUCCAAGCGUGAACUCGGCCACUUCUGAGUCAGUUGCAUCUUCCCUUUUUCUGCUCUGAACCAAAGACCACAAGUUCUGUGGUUAAUCUGUGCCUUGGCUUGGAGAGCUGCCAGCUAGCAAGGAAGGCUGUCCCCAGCACUUAGAGUCAAACCCUGUAGAAAAAUGAUGAUCUUGUAAUGGUUCUAUGGACUUAAAGAUGAAGAUCUUGCAUCUGAGCAGAGUUUCUCUGAGAAAACUCACACUUCAACUUCAUAUCCAUGUGCAAUACUGCUGAGUGGAGAGACCCCAAAGUUCUCCUCUGGACCUCUGUUCAUCGCAGGGCUUGGUCGUGUUGGCUGCCAGGAGGAGAACAGAACAAAUAGUGAAAAAGGAGAGAAAACAGGAUGCAACAUGGGCAACACAAGCGUCCUCAAACCACCCUGCCAACGUGCUUCAAUUCUGAAUGAGGAGGACCAGCUUUCUGGGUGAGAAAGGAGCCUGUCUCUAUUCAGUCCCUGACCCUUCUGCUCAAGGCUGUUAAUGAAGGGGCCUCAUUAGCACCAAAGGUGAGGUUGGCAUUAUAAUGUAGCUACUGGCCUGCUGCAGGCUGAGUUGACACCUAUCAAUUCGUUCUGCCUGGCUAUUGACUGAGCGGCUGUCAGAUGACGAUACCUUUCGCUAGCACUCUGCAGACAGAGGUCAGGUUUGGCCAAAUGAUGUAAGGGUCUCUGUCAUGCCAGUGCCACCAGCUGGCUGGACCCGCCACGAAGAGCAUUUCACAGCCUGGAUUCGUCCAGCACUGAAUGCGAGCUGCUGGCAGAAGUGCAGGCUGGAGAAGACAGGUCCAGGCACCUUAAGGAGCAAACACAGUCAUGGCUCCGCAGGAGGGAGGGAGAUUCACUGCUGACAUUUGUGUCUGCUUUGCCCGUGCCUUCUUGUGGUUGAUGCCAAAGUCAUUGAGGGAUGCUCAUCUGCGUGCUCAGAGAGGGGCCACCUUCUGACAGGGAACUGUGACCCUAGACAGGAUAACCCUUAGAUCACUAAAAUGUACAAGAUGAAGGGAAAAAUAGCUUGGAGAAACGGACAUGGCAGGAUGAGAUCAGCAGCAGAAUCUGACCAGCACCAAAAAGCCUGUUCUGAAUCAUUUCCUGGAUUGAAAAAAGUGUCCAAAAAAGGAGCAGGAAUUACUGUCUCAGACAAAUAUACUGUCUGAGAUACAGCCUCUCCACAGCCGAGGCAUUCCCAGUGUCUGGAGUUUCCCAGGCCUAUCGUGCAACAAUCCCAUGGCCACACAUUCAGGCAUGCCUUGUUUCUGAGCAUCCCGAGCUCUGGCUCACAGUGUGGUGCCUCUUGGGGACUGGUGUUUCUGCUAUUUCCAGCCCUAAUCACUCAGCUUGGUGGUUUUCAGAGCAACUGGCCCUCUCCAACAGAAGCAGGUACCCAGCCUGGUAGUUUGAACCUCACUAUAAUAAGAGCAGGCUGUGAGACAUCCCAGAGCAGCGUUUCAGAACCUGUAACAUUCAAAUUAAUGUGAAUUUCUGAUUUUUGUGGCUGCUCAGUCAGCUGCUGUUGUGAGAGUUUCCACCAAAACCAGGCUAUUUUGCUGGAUUCACAUGAACUGAGCUUCAUUGUGGCUUCCACCUGUCUACACAGCAAGUGGAGGUGGGGUUGCCACAUAUGAUAGUCUAUGCAAACCAGCUCUAAUCUAGCCAGCUCAGGUAUGAUAGCAGGUGAGAUAAUCCCCCACACUGCAGUGCAGGCUACGCAAACUUGCCUGUGACUCAGGGAAUUUGGCUGGCAGUACCACGCUGAAAUUUGUAUCACUGAAACUUAAUCGUUAUCACUGAUAUCGCUGCCUGUGAGACAAUAGUGCAGCUGAUUGCAGCAAAGUCGUUAUCUUGGCACUUCUGAAAUGCCUUGGAGCUUGACUUUGUUCCAUCGUGGCCCAGCCAGCAUGGUUUCAAGGGAGUCAGGACGGGAUCUAAAACAACGCACACAUGCAACAAAUAACUGUUUCAGCCAACACAGUGAGAAUUGAAGGCUCUCCCUGCAGUUAGACUGUGAAGGCAGAGCUGUAACAAAUUCUGUCCCUUUGUUACUCGGGCAUCAGAGUCAGGCAUUGUAAUACAUGCCCAUGAGUUUAUCCAUUACGCAUACAUUUUAUAUGCCACCAAUAUUUUGGAUUAAUGAAGAAUGCAAUCAAUUGGACACAUUUCAUGCAGUUUUGCAAUGCAUUAUGUAAACAUUGCAGAUGCAGGCUGUUUUCUCCCAUUGCCUGCGGAUUUUUAUAUGCUCUGAAAUCUAUUUUAAAUAUAUGCGUGAAAUGUGUCACGGAACAUCUGACAUAUGUGGAAAACAUAUUACUGCACCGUAUGGGCAAUGUAGAAGGUCACUCAUGAACAGCUUGAAAACAGCAAUCGUUUGCAUACGGAUAUAUAGCUGUUUGUAUUAUGAUACCAUCACGGGGGGAUAGGGGUAUGUCCAGGUCUGCGUGGGUCACUGGCAAUGGCAGCAUCUUGUGAUGCAUAAAGUGAUGGAAACAAAUAGAAGUAUCUAGGGUGCUUGGUGCCUAGACAUUUUUAUCAGUUCCUUAUAACAGGGCAACUGGUAAAGUCCCAUGGAAGGUAAGGGACAGUAAGCUGGAGAGCAGAAUCAUGUUUUUAAUGGCACUUCAUCGUAGUUUGAUCAUGAAUAGUUACCUUGGUCAAGGCACUUCUCUGUGCCGAGUGUUACCGAGCAGAUCCUGUUCUCUCAUUCAAGCAUCCACUCCAGGUUGGACUGAAUAGAGUUAGUACGCAUUAGGGAUGGUACAGAUGGGGUCAAGCCCUGCCUUUAAUCUCUGUGUAUGUCUUUCUGUCAAGAUGACUGA